rnacentral:rRNA from 1 species
GGACCCGCACAAGCAGCGGAGCAUGUGGUUUAAUUCGAAGCAACGCGAAGAACCUUACCUGGGUUUGACAUCCUACCAAUCCUGUAGAGAUACGGGAGUGCCCGCAAGGGAAAGUAGAGACAGGUGCUGCAUGGCUGUCGUCAGCUCGUGUCGUGAGAUGUUGGGUUAAGUCCCGCAACGAGCGCAACCCUUGUCCUUGGUUGCCAGCAUUAAGUUGGGCUCUCCAAGGAAACUGCCGGUGUUAAACCGGAGGAAGGUGGGGAUGACGUCAAGUCCUCAUGGCCCUUAUGUCCAGGGCUACACACGUGCUACAAUGGACGGUACAAUGAGUCGCAAUGCCGUGAGGCCUAGCUAAUCUCAAAAAACCGCCCUCAGUUCGGAUUGGAGUCUGCAACUCGACUCCAUGAAGCCGGAAUCGCUAGUAAUCGCGGAUCAGAACGCCG